UUUUAUGACCUGUGUGUUGCAAUAGCUCGCGAAUUAAAGGUGCCUUGUUUAUUUUAAUUGUGGGUUAUAUAGAAAACGAAGGAAACAACAAAGUUUGCCCCUUUUUCGCGUUUGUCAAAACACACGGUGGAAAAUAGGUCAUAUCUCGGAAAACCCUUUAUCAUAUUUUUUAUUUUAUAAUUGGACAAGAGUGCAUUCUUAAGAUGCACCCCUGAACCACUGCAAAAUUUGGUCGUAAUUGCCUUAAAAUGGCUUCUAAAGAUUGCCUUUUUUGGCAUUUUUCAAAACACGCGGUGGGAAACAGACCAUAUCUCGAGAACCCGUUAUUAUGUUUUUGUUAUUUUUCUAUUUUAUGAUAGGGCAAGAGUGCAUUUUAAAAAUGCACCUUUGAACCCUCGCGAAGUUCCGUCGUAACUGCCUUAAAAUAGCCUCUAAAGUUUGCCCUUUUCUUGCAUUUUUCAAAGCACGUGGUGGAAAACAGGCCAUAUCUCGAGAACCCUUUGUCAUAUUUUAAUAUUUUCUUUAUUUUAUGAUACGGCAAGAGUGCAUUUUUAAAAUGUACCCCUCAAUUCCCGCAAAAUUUGAUCGUAACUGCCUCAAAAUGGUCGCUAAAGUUACGCCUUUUCUUGCAAUAUUCAAAACACGCGGUGGAAAACAGGCCAUAUCUCGGGAACCCUUUGUCAUAUUUAAGUUAUUUCUCGAUUUUAUUAUAGGACAAGAGUGCAUUUUUAAAAUAUACCCUGAAGCUCUGCCUAAGUCGCUCGUAACUGCCUCAAAAUGGCCGCCAAAAUUUGAACUUGUCGUGCAUUUAUCAUAACACGCCGUGGAAAGCAGACCAUCUCUCGGAACAUUUCAUUAUUUUUUCAUUUCUGUGGAUUCUGUUAGCGCAAGAAUUCUUCGUGAAGAUACAGUUUCUUCACUGCGUUAUACCCUCAGAAUAUGUUUAGUCUAUUACUGAUUAGUCGUAGGUACGGAGCAUGUAACUUAAGUAACUAUCGAUAUGUUUAUAUUUAUUAAGUGAUUAUAAUUGCCAGGACCGUGUGACCGAUGCCUUGCCCUGUUCAAUGUGUAUAGUUCAACAUGUAUAUACAAUACCUAUGGUAUUUUCUUAAUAGAUCCAAGCGAUUUUCGCCGUUUGUUUUGCAAUUUUUAAUGCGAUUUUAUAUGCGGAAUUUCAUAAUUGUUUAAGCGAUGUUCCAACUCUCGUUCUCUUCUCUGUUUUAGUACUUCCUUUCGAGUUCCAACGGCCGAGUCACGAGAUAAAUUAGAAUGCGAAUUUGAUUCGCUUAGUCGGUUGACUGCCAAUUUAAAAUAAAAUAAAUAAUGGCAGCACCCCUUUCCACACUUCCCCUCGAUAAUGUAAUUUAUUUUGCGGAUUUUUCUCAGCUUCAACACUAGUCUUAGUGUUGCAACGCGUGAAAUACUUGUAUGGUAUCAUUAGGUGUUUGUGUUGUACUUAUGCACACGUCCUCGUAAUACGUAUGUCACGUUUUAGUCAUUGCACGCGAACGGGGCGUCACACAAACUAGAGCGCGUCGUUAUUAGAUGUUGUCUAGCUUUAACUCGCGAAGAGGACGUCUCUAGAGGUGUUAAAUUAAAUUCUCCGUGGGGUUAAAUUAAUUUGUUGCGGGAGUGACGCAUUGGUAAAUUCGAAAAUUGGGGUAUUAAGUGGGAUUUUCACAUGCAGGGUGAAAUUGUUAGAGUUUUUUCGGUAUAGCUCGAGAGAGAGGCGGCUUAGAAAUUUCCGCGCGAUCUUUAGAGAUGUUAAAUUAAAGUCUCCGUCGGAUAGUGUUGUUUUAUGCUGGAAUUCGACCUGCAACACGGGAAAAUUUGCAUAAAAGGGUGAUUUUUUUACCCUUUCUCGUGAAAUAUUUCUAUUUUUGCAAAAAUGUCAUUUUUGUGCUUCUCUGUACUGAUUUUUGGUAGUUUUAGAUGUCUAGCGGGCAAAUGAAAUGUCCCAGGUCAACGAUUCUUCCAUCAGAUUCGGGCGAAUGAAAUGUCCUAGGGCAACGAUUAUUUCAUCAUAUUGUGUCUAGCGGGCAAAUUAAAUGUCCUAGGACAACGAUUCUUUCAUCAGAUUGCGUAUGAAAUGUCCUAGGACAACAAUUCUUUCAUCAUAUUGUGUCUAGAGGGCAAAGGAAAUGUCCUAGGGCAACGAUUAUUUCAUCAUAUUGUGCCUAGCGGGCAAACUAAAUGUCCUAGGACAACGAUUAUUUCAUCAUAUUGAAAGUGUUUAGUGGGCGAACAAAAUAUCCUGGGAUAAUGAUUCAUUCAUCAGAUUGUGUCUAGCGGGCGAACGAAAUAUCCUAGGACAGCCAUUCUUUCAUCAGAUUGUGUCUAGCGGGCGAAUGAAAUAUUUUAGGACAGCGCUUCUUUCAUCAGAUUGUGUCUAGCGGGCGAACGAAAUAUCCAAGGACAGCGAUUCUUUCAUCAGAUUGUGUCUAGCGGGCGAAUGAAAUGUCCUAGGACAACGAUUCUUGCAUCAGAUUGUGUCUAGCGGGCGAAUGAAAUGACCUAGGACAACGAUUCUUGCAUCAGAUUGUGUCUAGUGGGCGAACGAAAUAUCCUAGGACAGCGAUUCUUUCAGCAGAUUGUGUCUAGCGGGCGAAUGAAAUGUCCUAGGACAACGAUUCUUUCAUCAGAUUGUGUCUAGCGGGCGUACGAAAUAUCCUAGGACAGCAAUUCUUUCACCAAAUUGUAAGUGUUAAAAUUCUUUAUUAUUCGAAAUUUUUUGUUAAAAUUUUUUCGGUCGUAAAACAGGGGCGAACUUUUGUAAUCGAAUUUAUUUUACAUGAAAAUUUUUCGGUCAAAGAACAGGGUCGAACUAUUUUGUUAAAAUAAUUUUCGGUCAAAGAACAGAGUCAAAUUUUUUGGCGAUUAUGUCAAGAACAAAAAGGUCUACGAAAAUCGAAUGCGUUUUCUCUAAAAUUGUAAAUAUGGUUUAAACGGUUAAUGUUAUCAAAAAAGUUACUAAAACACUCGAUGUAGGAUUAAAUUAUCUAUCAGGUUUCCGAUUUAAAAUAUAAUUGAAAUUAAUAGUUCCAAGCAUUGUACGAGUACAAUUCUUUUCAUGUUCUGCAUUACCACAUUGAAAGUGUCAGUGUUUACAAACAAACAUGUUUUCUUAUGUCGUGCAAUUUUUGUGCGAUCGCCACGCGGUUGGCUUGUGUACCACGUUAGUCUCAUUUUUGUCGUCAGGUGAUCUGCACGCACAUUUUCUUCAUUAUUCAAUCAUUCAUUAUUUAUUCAUUAUUCUUGAGUUGCUAAAUGUUUCAUCGAUUGUGCGGGGUUCGUACCACGUGGAUUGUACAUACUCAGAGGUUAAAUGUGAUUGAUGUUCCGUCGGCCGUCGGAUACUCUUUUUGUAUCAUACGCGUAUUUCAUAUUUAUUUCGUAUUUUCUGUGGAUAUGCCAAACGCGCAAAAAUGUAUUUUGCAUCAAGGUAUGUUCUCGCAUUUCUUCAGCUAUAUGAAAAUCAAAUCCAUUAUUGACUUAAUUUGUUUUUACUUCAACCGCGUGGUCUUUAACCACAUAAAUAAUUAUUAAAAAUUAUAAUUUUUGUCUCUGUUUCAAUACCUACGUUGAUUUGCAAUACGCAUUCGAUACAUUGUUUCUUUUUCGUUUAAUGUACACAUUAAAAAGAUUAAGAUUGUCAUGUGCCGUCGGUUGCGUUCUUAAUUCUUUGGCGACUUUUUCCGGCUAAACCCAUUACCCACCACUAUUAGAUACAAUAUAAGAUAAUAAGAAAGAAAUAUUUUGCAUUUUUUAUGAUGAAAUCUUUUUUUCAGCUAGUGCAGCUUUUGAAACAAUUGGAAUUUUUAAAUUCUGUUUUUGGAUUUUGAAAGAUAAUUUAAUUUUUAAUAGAUUAUUUAAGUAAUUAUUUUUCUAUCAUUGACGGUUUAGGCCCUAUAUGCAAUUUUAAUAAAAAUGAUUUAUACAUGCCAAAAUGGCUUUAAUUUGCAAUUGUGUUACAUGGUUCGGAUUUAGAAUUUAAUAU